GACGAACGCUGGCGGCGUGCCUAAUACAUGCAAGUUGAGCGCUGAAGGUUGGUACUUGUACCAACUGGAUGAGCAGCGAACGGGUGAGUAACGCGUGGGGAAUCUGCCUUUGAGCGGGGGACAACAUUUGGAAACGAAUGCUAAUACCGCAUAAAAACUUUAAACACAAGUUUUAAGUUUGAAAGAUGCAAUAGCAUCACUCAAAGAUGAUCCCGCGUUGUAUUAGCUAGUUGGUGAGGUAAAGGCUCACCAAGGCGAUGAUACAUAGCCGACCUGAGAGGGUGAUCGGCCACAUUGGGACUGAGACACGGCCCAAACGCCUACGGGAGGCAGCAGUAGGGAAUCUUCGGCAAUGGACGAAAGUCUGACCGAGCAACGCCGCGGGAGUGAAGAAGGUUUUCGGAUCGUAAAACUCGGUUGGUAGAGAAGAACGUUGGUGAGAGUGGAAAGCUCAUCAAGUGACGGUAACUACCCAGAAAGGGACGGCUAACUACGUG
rnacentral:rRNA from 1 species